rnacentral:rRNA from 1 species
AGCAGCAGCCGCGGGAAUACGUAGGGUGCGAGCGUUAAUCGGAAUUACUGGGCGUAAAGCGUGCGCAGGCGGUUAUAUAAGACAGAUGUGAAAUCCCCGGGCUCAACCUGGGACCUGCAUUUGUGACUGUAUAGCUAGAGUACGGUAGAGGGGGAUGGAAUUCCGCGUGUAGCAGUGAAAUGCGUAGAUAUGCGGAGGAACACCGAUGGCGAAGGCAGCCCCCUGGGCCAAUACUGACGCUCAUGCACGAAAGCGUGGGGAGCAAACAGGAUUAGAGACCCCCGUAGUCCCUGUCUCUUAUAC